AUUAACAAUGUAACAAGAAGAACAUCCAGAUAGUGAUUUGUCCUGAACAACACAGAGCUCACAAAGAAAAAAAAUGCAUGCAUUAUGUCAUAAUAAAAAAUUUUUAACUAAAGUUGAUGAUAGAGACACUGUACAAUUAAUUGUUCAUCAAGCUGCUAAUAAAAGAGGGAGCAGACCAGGAAGGCACAAGAGCCUUGCAGCCCACCUAGCAACUUCUGGCUCUAUCAGAGGAUCUUUGGGUUCUCCUGGGAAUGUGAGCAGCCUGAGGAAGACUUGCUUUUGAGACAAACAGACGGUUCCUCCAUCUCUGGAACCAUGCCAAGAGGCUGUGCCUAAUCUGCUCAGAAAUCAUGGCCCUCUGCCUGUCACUGAAGCCUGAACACACUCCAGGAAUUAGGUACUAAUUAAUGUCAACACACUACAAAUGAAGAAAGAAGGGAAAUUGCUUGGACUCAUUCCUGAGGAAAUCUCAGAAAUUUGCUUUAGUUAGUUAGUGUGUACCUCAAGGCAGCAUGGAGCCAAAGCACAGAAUGCUGCUCCUGUGGAUGAGUGACCUGGGGGUGACCCCUAUGAACCUCUUGACCAGUAUUUGCUCCUGUAUCUUGUUAUGAUCCUGCUGAAAACAUUGCAUUUUCUGAUUGGUGGCAUCAGAAAGGCCAAAAAUCCAAACCGUGGCUUCAUCAGCUUCAUGUUCGAGUGUCUAUUCAAAAUUCUAAGAGGUAUCUUUCACCGUGACACUUUCUUGAUUUUAAUGUAUUGCUGCUUAGUAGUCUUUAAUGAACACCUUUUCUAAUACUGGGA
rnacentral:lncRNA from 1 species